rnacentral:rRNA from 1 species
CAAUAGCGUAUAUUUAAGUUGUUGCAGUUAAAAAGCUCGUAGUUGGAUUUCGGAUGGGAUUUGCCGGUCCGUCGUUACGAUGUGCACUGGCCAGUCCUAUCUUGUUGUCGGGGACUAGCUCCUUGGAUUCACUUCCUGGGACUAGGAGCUGACGAGGUUACUUUGAGUAAAUUAGAGUGUUCAAAGCAAGCCUACGCUCUGAAUACAUUAGCAUGGAAUAACACGAUAGGACUCUGGCUUAUCUUGUUGGUCUGUGAGACCAGAGUAAUGAUUAAGAGGGACAGUCGGGGACAUUCGUAUUUCAUUGUCAGAGGUGAAAUUCUUGGAUUUAUGAAAGACGAACUUCUGCGAAAGCAUUUGUCAAGGAUGUUUNCACUA